GUGGGGAAUAUUGGGCAAUGGGCGAAAGCCUGACCCAGCAACGCCGCGUGAAGGAAGAAGGUCUUCGGAUCGUAAACUUCUAUCCUUGGUGAAGAUAAUGACGGUAGCCGAGAAGGAAGCCCCGGCUAACUACGUGCCAGCAGCCGCGGUAAUACGUAGGGGGCAAGCGUUGUCCGGAAUGAUUGGGCGUAAAGGGCGCGUAGGCGGCCUGGUAAGUCUGGAGUGAAAGUCCUGCUUUUAAGGUGGGAAUUGCUUUGGAUACUGUCGGGCUUGAGUGCAGGAGAGGUAAGUGGAAUUCCCGGUGUAGCGGUGAAAUGCGUAGAGAUCGGGAGGAACACCAGUGGCGAAGGCGACUUACUUGACUGUAACUGACGCUGAGGCGCGAAAGUGUGGGGAGCAAACAGGAUUAGAUACCCCGGUAGUCC
rnacentral:rRNA from 1 species